UGACAAAAAGUAUAAAUGAGAGGCAAAUGCAUUCAACAGCUCCUAGUCUUAAGCGUUGUGAGACAAAUAAAACUUGGGAUUUACUCGCACCAUCAAGAAAGCUGGUGUCAAAGUUCUUGCUGUCUGGAGUGGUAUGAGCUGGUGCAGAAAAUGAAGUUUGGGAAUGAUGAAUGAUGCCCAGGUCUAUGGGAGACAAAGAGAAAAUCUCAGUCAUAGUGGGAAAAAAUAAAUUGGAAAAAAAAUGCAGAAAACACAAAAUGUUGCUUACUUUGCAUUAUUUAGCUGUAUGAAGCUUGGGAUCUACAAAUUCACUUCAUCGAGACAGAAGAACGAACGGACAGAGGACAUCAAAAAAACAGAAUGUCAGUGACUGCGCAGCUGCUGCAAUCAAGUUCCUUAAAGGAUACCUUUCAAGUAGGUUGGAUGCUAGAGCAUUACUGCCUUGAGGAUGUAACGCUACAGAGACAUUUUGGACCCAGCAGUUCUUUUAAAUUAUAUUUUAACUUAUAUCAUUUUUUUAACAUAAAUUUUUGAUGUAUGUCAAUCAUAAUAGAAAUAUUUGAUUUGUGACGAAAAGAGAAAACUGCAAAAUCUUGAUGUAGGGGAGAUUAAUAGCAACCAAUGUUCUCUGAGAGUCCGAUGCAUGUCAUUAGAGCACUUAACCACAAAUCUUUAAAUUUGUCCUACGAGGAGAAUUCAUUAAUACUAG
rnacentral:lncRNA from 1 species